UGGCGGCGUGGAUAAGACAUGCAAGUCGAACGAUCACUAUUGGGUAGCAAUAUUCGGUAGUGGGAGUGGCGCAAGGGUGCGUAACACGUGGGUAAUUUGCCGUAAAGUCUGGGAUAACUUGCUGAAAGGCGAGCUAACACCGGAUGUGAUUGUUGGAGGGCAUCCUCUGGCACUUAAAGUCGGGGACCGUAAGGCCUGACACUUUUCGAUAAGCCCGCGGCCUAUCAGCUAGUUGGUGAGGUAACGGCUCACCAAGGCUAAGACGGGUAGCUGGUCUGAGAGGACGACCAGCCUCACUGGAACUGAGACACGGUCCAGACACCUACGGGUGGCAGCAGUCGAGAAUUUUUCUCAAUGGGGGAAACCCUGAAGGAGCGACGCCGCGUGGGGGAUGAAUGGCUUCGGCCCGUAAACCCCUGUCAUUUGCGAUCAAACCUUACGACCUAACACGUCGUAAGCUGAUAGUAGCGGAAGAGGAAGGGACGGCUAACUCUGUGCCAGCAGCCGCGGUAAUACAGAGGUCCCAAGCGUUGUUCGGAUUCACUGGGCGUAAAGGGUGCGUAGGCGGUCGGGUAAGUCUGACGUGAAAUCUUCAAGCUCAACUUGGAAACUGCGUCGGAUACUAUUCGGCUAGAGGAAUGGAGGGGAGACUGGAAUACUUGGUGUAGCAGUGAAAUGCGUAGAUAUCAAGUGGAACACCAGUGGCGAAGGCGAGUCUCUGGACAUUUC
rnacentral:rRNA from 1 species